rnacentral:rRNA from 1 species
AGGGUUUGAUUCUGGCUCAGGAUGAACGCUGGCGGCAUGCCUAAGACAUGCAAGUCGAACGAAGGGACCUAAUGAAGAUUGCGUGCUUGCACAAAAUCAGAUUUAGAUCAUCCCUUAGUGGCAAACGGGUGAGUAACACGUGGGUCACCUACCUUUAAGUUGGGGAUAACAGUUGGAAACGAUUGCUAAUACCGAAUAUGAUCUAUGGAUUAAAGAAGCCUUUAAAGCUUCGCUUAGAGAUGGGCCUGCGGCGUAUUAGCUUGUUGGUGGGGUAACGGCCUACCAAGGCGACGAUACGUAGCCGAACUGAGAGGUUAAUCGGCCACACUGGGACUGAGACACGGCCCAG